rnacentral:rRNA from 1 species
CUUAUACAUGCAAGUCGAGCGGACCUUUUAAAGCUUGCUUUUGAAAGGUCAGCGGCGGACGGGUGAGUAACACGUGGGCAACCUGCCUGUAAGACUGGGAUAACUUCGGGAAACCGGAGCUAAUACCGGAUAAUAUAAGGAACCUCCUGGUUCUUUAUUGAAAGAUGGUUUCGGCUAUCACUUACAGAUGGGCCCGCGGCGCAUUAGCUAGUUGGUGAGGUAAUGGCUCACCAAGGCGACGAUGCGUAGCCGACCUGAGAGGGUGAUCGGCCACACUGGGACUGAGACACGGCCCAGACUCCUACGGGAGGCAGCAGUAGGGAAUCUUCCACAAUGGACGAAAGUCUGAUGGAGCAACGCCGCGUGAGCGAUGAAGGCCUUCGGGUCGUAAAGCUCUGUUGUUAGGGAAGAACAAGUGCGAGAGUAACUGCUCGCACCUUGACGGUACCUAACCAGAAAGCCACGGCUAACUACGUGCCAGCAGCCGCGGUAAUACGUAGGUGGCAAGCGUUGUCCGGAAUUAUUGGGCGUAAAGCGCGCGCAGGUGGUCCUUUAAGUCUGAUGUGAAAGCCCACGGCUCAACCGUGGAGGGUCAUUGGAAACUGGGGGACUUGAGUGCAGAAGAGGAAAGU